UCUUCCUCCUCUACUCUAUCUUCUCGGAGAGAGUCUGAGAGAUUGGUGGAGAUCAGCAACAUCAACCAUUAGGUGGUAGCUUCUGCAAAGGCACUAACAUCCCGGUAAAGCAAUGGACCUCUGAUCAGAUUCGAGGGUCUCGUGUGGAUAUCUGUAGAGUAUACCAAGAUUAUCAGCUGUGGAGAUCAUCGAUCUGCUCAAAGAUAUAAAAAUUGGAUCUCCAAUUUGAUUUAUUUUCUUAAUCAGAUUUUAGAUAGA
rnacentral:lncRNA from 1 species